UUAAGUUCAGCGGGUAAUCCUGCCUGAUUUGAGGUCUAAUCUUAAAAAAGGUUUACGGUGUUUGAAGCUAUUCAAAUCGUCUAAAGUCGGCCAUUAGAGAAAUUUAAUUCUCAAUGUCCUCAGCGAAUAGUCUAUUACGCCGAGUCAAUCCGAGUUCGAAGUUGAAUUGUGCUAAUGUAUUACGAGUAAGCUAAUUUUGA
rnacentral:misc_RNA from 1 species